GGCUCGAUAGCUCAGUUGGUAGAGCAGAGGAUUGAAAAUCCUCGUGUCGCUGGUUCGAUUCCGGCUCGAGCCA
rnacentral:tRNA from 2 species